CUAAUGUCCAUAAUCAGGGGGGCCCAGUUUUAUAAUUUCUGCCUCUUUUCUCUGCAUACUAUUGCUCCUACUUCUGUGGAAAUACCUACUACAAACAACAUUAAAUUAUCAAGUAUUUUGAGUUCCAAAUAUUUUACACAUAUUAGUGAAUUUAAUUUUUAUAACCUCAUAAAGCAGAAACCAUUUCUGUCUCUGCUUUUUUAAGAAACUGGGGUAUGGAGAGGUAUGGCACAGGCAUUGAAGAAAGUUAGAUGAGAUUGUGCAUGUUUCAAAAAAUAUGUUGUAUAUUAGUCUUCAGAAAAAAAGACUGUUUCUGUUGUUCCCAGACUACAAAAAUGAUGCUUAUAGAUUCCAACAAAGCUUUUAUAACCCUGAGACUUACAAAGGAAAAGAAGUAGAAAGAAACAAAGGAAAUUGGACUAAAUUCUAUUACUGAGAGACAACCACACUGUAUGCUCCACAUGGUGAAAGAAGAGGACAGACUCCUGUUCUCUCUGGUGGAUAAACAUCUGUUGUGUCUGGCCAGUAGAUCACAACCUGGGUUCUAGACUGGAAAGGCAUUUUGGAAACCUGGAAGAGAAGAGGGGCUGGGAUGCGCGAGAUAAGGAAGGAACCAAGACAAAGCUCUCUGCUUAAGAGAACUCUUCCUGACAUUUAUGCUGGGGAAAGUAAUCAUAUGUGAUUCAGACUCAAAUAUGCUACUGAAGCUGGUGUGUCCAUGGCAAGUAACUUACUGUCUCUGGACCUUGACUCCCGGAUCUCUCCCUUCAUAGUACAUGGUUGAUAGGAGGUCAAGAACACUCUUUCCUGUCCCUGGCUACCAGCCUUCAAAAGCACACUCUUUCCCCUUCAGACCAAAGCCACAAAGGACAUAUGAAUAUGUACUCUUGUCCACUAUGUUCAUAGCAGCCUUAUUUAUAAUAGCAAGAAGCUGGAAAGAACCCAGAUGUCCCUCAACAAAGGAAUGGAUACAAAAAAUGUGGUACAUUUACACAAUGGAGUACUACUCAGCUAUUAAAAACUAUGAAUUCAUGAAAGUCUUAGACAAAUGGAUGGAUCUGGAGGAUAUCAUCCUAAGUGAGAUAACCCAAUCACAAAAGAACACACAUGAUAUGCACUCACUGAUAAGUGGAUAUUAGCCCAGAAGCAUAGAAUACCCAAGAUACAAUUUGCAAAACAUAUGAAACUCAAGAAGAAGGAAGACAAAAGUGUGGAUACUUUGAUCCUUCUUAGAAGGGGAAACAAAAUACCGAUGGAAGGAGACAAAGUUUGGAGCAGAGACAGAAGGCAUGACCAAACAGAGAUUGGAGAUCCAUCUCAUAAACAACCACCAAACCCAGACACUAUUGCAGAUGUCAACAAAUGCUUGCUGACAGGAGAAUGAUAUAGAUAUCUUCUGAGAGGCUCUGCCAGUGCCUGACUAAUACAGAAGUGAAUGUUCACAGUCAUCCAUUAGAUGGAGCUCAGGGUCCCCAAUGAAGGACCUAAAGAAAGUACCCAAGGAGCUAAAGGGAUUUGAAGCCCCCAGGAGGAUCAACAAUAUGAACUAACCAGUAACCCCAAUCAAAGAAAACACAUGGAGAGACUCAUGGCUCCCUGGGACUAAACCACCAAUCAAAGAAAACACAUGGAGAGAUCCGUGGCUCUAGCUGCACGUGUAGCUGAGGAUGGCCUAGUCAGUCAUCAAUGGGAGGAGAGGCCCUUGGUCCUGUGAAGGUUCUAUACCCCAGUAUGGGGAAUGCCUGGGUCAGGAACCAGGAGUGGGUGGGUUGGGAACAGUGGGAGGAGGAAGAGGAUAGGGGAUUUUCAGAGGGGAAACUAGGAAAGUGGGUAACAUUUGAAAUAUAAAUAAAGAAAAUAUCUAGUAAAAAUAAAAUAAAUUAUUUUGCAAGUUCAUAUACUUUAUGUUGAUGUUUAUAAAGUGCAUUGUUAAAUUUUCUUAAAGAUAAUACACAUGUAUUCUAUAUAAGGAAUUUACCAAUAAAUACUAAAAAGAGUAGGAUAAAACAUGAAAACAAAUUAUUUUCAAAAACUUUUAUUCUAAAUAUCUUGAUCAGUUGAUUAGAAAAAAGUAAUACAUAAUUACAGCCUGGAGCCAUUUCUAUGUGUAUUAUUGUAGCAAGAUGGAAUGCCUUUUAAAAGCUUGAAAGAGUUGGUAAUUUGUAAUUUGGACUGAAAUAAAACUUGUUUUUUUCUUACCAAAAAAAAAAA